rnacentral:rRNA from 1 species
AGCCAUAUGCUUCGUUCAAGGACUAAGCCAUGCAAGUGUCAGAGGACACUGUGAAUCGAGAGUUGAUCUGUGAAUGGCUCCUUAGACCAGUUGCCAUCGACGUGAUAGACCGUGUGUGGCACCAGCCUCUCGCCCAAGGCGCUCAGUUGGACAUCCCUCAAAACCUGGUGGCUAAUACACGAUCAAGAGGUCAGCCAAAGGACCUGUGGUGAUGCAACAACCCUCAAAGUCGCUUCGCGUCUCACCCUCAGUGGUAGACUGCAACCAGCUGGUGAUCAAGACCUGUGCUCCGCAACUCGGAGCAGCGUUGACCCCGCGAUGAACCAAGCUGGAUCUCAAUGGCGUAUCGAAACGAAAGGCAAGGGACAGUCAGCUCUGGCGAUUUGAUCUCGGCUGUGGCUCAGGCCUCAGCUGGAUCUACACGACAUGUGUGCUCGUGGUCUCACCGAGGCCUCGUUCACUCAGCUUGAUCAUGCGAACUUCUGACCUAUCAGCUCGAUGGUGAUGCAAUGGAUCACACUGGCCUCGACGGGUAACGGGGAAUGAGGGUCUGAUUCCGGAGAGGGAGCCUUAGAGACGGCUACCACUGUUACGGCGGGCAGCAGGCACGCAAAUUGCCCCAUGAACGAACACCCAUUGAGGCAGCAACGAACUGCAGCAACCGUGCAUGACCUCAUUGGUCGGUACGGCUUGUAAUGGAUGCAACCCAAACACAGUUAUGAGUAGCCACUGGAGAGCAAGUCUGGUGCCAGCAGUCGCGGUAAUUCCAGCUCCGAGUGCGUAUGCUGUCAUUGCUGCUGUUAAAGCGCUCGUAGUCAGACAAUGGGUUGCAGGGACCGUGUAGCCACGCAGGCCCAGUGGGCUCCCAGAUGCCCCGUGCAGAUGGUCCCAUCGGACAACCCAGCAGCUGCACGUGACCCACGUCCCUCGGCAACUAGGACGUCUCUCUGCUUCCCACAGCUCAUUGCUGCUGCAUCGGCUCACCCGUUGGCCCGGUGCACCCAGUCUGGAUGGCAUGAUGUGCUCUUGCUGCAAGCGCCCUUUACUGGACCCUGAGGCGGUGAUGCUCACAACGCUAGUCAUUGGCAACAGUCCGUGUGGAACCACGACCCCGUGUCUGGAAGCCCAGAUCCACACCAGCCAGCCCUCAGAGCCUGCCAUCAUUGUCACUCUGGUGAAAGCAGUGUGCUCCAAGCGUCCAACCGAAGUCCCCCGCUCGACGGGGGACCCUCAGUCAAGGCUGAAUGUGCAACCAGUGAAUGCCAACCACACGACCGCGUGAGGCAAUGCUUGUGCCGGUCUUGAGACCCACGACUUGGGUAGUGUGGCUGGGGGGAACCGGGGACUGGGUCGCUCCUCGCAGAGGACGAGCCUGACGCGUGCUUCCCUGUCCCAGCCACUCGAUCCCGGAUGGGAUGCAGCCUCACGGGGUGAAGGGAACCUUUGUGUCAGAGGUGAAAUUCUUAGACCGCAAUGAGACCACCUGAGGCGAAGGCUCUUCGACCAACUAGCCUGUCUCUCUCGAUCAAGAAUGGCAGUUUGGGGAGCCAAGAUGAUCAGACACCGUCGUAGUCCAGCGCCGUAAACCGUACCAUCCGAGUCCUGCAGCUAUGCGUGCUUCCCAUUGCCCCAGGACUCACACCCCUGACCGAGAGAAAUCCCAAGCGGGUCCAGGGGGGAGUACAGUCGCAAGGCAGAAACUUAAAGGAAUUGACGGAGUGGCACCACAAGGCGUGGAGUAUGCGGCUUAAUUUGACUCAACGCGGGGAAUGUUACUAGGCCAGCACAUGGCAAGGAUGGACAGACUGAGAGCUCUUUCUUGAUCCCGUGGACGGUGGUGCAUGGCCGCUACUGAUUGGUGGAGUGAUUUGUCUGGCUGAUCCCGAUAACGAGUGAGAUCUCUGCUUCUGACUAGGCUCUGGCUCGCAUCUGUAGGGUCGUUCUAGUCCCAGCACCGAUCGGACCCAGGUCGCCCCCGUGGUGCCUGGGAGCCAUCCGCUCGGUUGUCUGGCUGGUUCACCCGAGAGCCAACGAGGAAGUCUUCUCUGAGGUGCUGCUUGACGACCAGAAGGCUGAGCAUGCGAGAGGCAACAGCAGGUCUGUGAUGCUCCCAGAUGUUCUAGGCUGCACGCGCACGACACUGAUUCAGUGAAGGAGUCACCUUGAAGGCAAUGGUUCACCCACUGCCCCGUGGCCUGAAGAGGCUGGGAAACCUUGCAAACCUGAGACGUGAUGGGGAUAGACGAUUGCAACUGUGUCUCUUGAACGAGGAAUGCCUAGUAGGCGCAGGUCAUCAGCCUGGACCGAUUGAGUCCCUGCCAUUUGUACACACCGCCCGUCGUUGCUACCGAUGGCAUUGUGAUAGAAGCCUGUGGAGUGGGUGCCCCCCGUGG